GAUAGCAAUAUUCACUUCAAAUUAACUUAUUUUCCAUUUUUGCCGAUUUAAUUAAUAUAGCUAACAAUCACCUUGUCUGCACUAUAUAUAUCUGAAUAGGAGUUGCAAUGUUUUGUACAAGCUAACUACAAAUCAUAGUAUAGUUUUAUCAUAGUCACCACUUAUAAAUACACUCUAAAGACAUGGCUAUGAGCAAGACUUCAUACACUUUGUUUUCUUUGAUGUUUGUGAUUCUUCUCUCAAUUGGUUUGCAAAGUGUGGAUGCUUUUGGCCCAGCAUGUAAAACCAAUCAGGACUGUGUAGUUUACUGCAACGUCCCCAUUGCAAGAGGCACUGGAACAUGUCUUGGUGGAUAUUGCACAUGUGAAGCUUUCGAGAAACAAGAAUCUAGCACCAAUGCUAGAAAAAUUUUACAUAACUAGGAAUAGGGAUCCAUGAACAAAUUGUCUUUCGAUUUUUAUUUUGGUCCAUGAUGUGAUGAGAAAUUCGAUUUUCGAUAUGUAUCUUUGUUCUGUUUGAAGAAAAAAAUAAAUUGAAAUUCGAUGAAAAAUUAGUGAUUCAUCAAAGUUGAUUAUCCAUCGCCUUCUUAA